UACGAAGGGGGCUAGCGUUGCUCGGAAUCACUGGGCGUAAAGGGUGCGUAGGCGGGUCGUUUAAGUCAGGGGUGAAAUCCUGGAGCUCAACUCCAGAACUGCCUUUGAUACUGAAGAUCUUGAGUUCGGGAGAGGUGAGUGGAACUGCGAGUGUAGAGGUGAAUUGUAGAUAUUCGCAAGAACACCAGUGGCGAAGGCGGCUCACUGGCCCGAUACUGACGCUGAGGCACGAAAGCGUGGGGAGCAAACAGGG
rnacentral:rRNA from 1 species